rnacentral:misc_RNA from 1 species
GUGAGUCAUCGAAUCUUUGAACGCACAUUGCGCCCCUUGGUAUUCCAUGGGGCAUGCCUGUUCGAGCGUCAUUUGUACCUUCAAGCUUUGCUUGGUGAUGGGUGUUUGUCCAAUCUUCAGAUUAGACUCGCCUUAAAAUUAUUGGCAGCCGGCAUAUUGGCCUUUGGAGCGCAGCACAUUUUGCGAUCUAAGCCUGUAUACUGGUAUCCAUGAAGCCUCUUUAUCACUUUUGACCUCGGAUCAGGUAGGGAUACCCGCUGAACUUAAGCAUAUCAAUAAGCGGAGGA